rnacentral:rRNA from 1 species
UUAAAUUGAAGAGUUUGAUCAUGGCUCAGAUUGAACGCUGGCGGCAGGCCUAACACAUGCAAGUCGAACGGUAACAGGAAGCAGCUUGCUGCUUUGCUGACGAGUGGCGGAUGGGUGAGUAAUGUCUGGGAAACUGCCUGAUGGAGGGGGAUAACUACUGGAAAC